rfam:Drosophila yakuba complete mitochondrial sequence
AAGGCUUUAAGUUAACUAAACUAAUAGCCUUCAAAGCUGUAAAUAAAGGGUAUUCCUUUAAGUCUUA